rnacentral:rRNA from 1 species
UGGGGGAUAUUGCACAAUGGGGGGAAGCCCUGAUGCAGCGACGCCGCGUGAGGGAAGAAGGUUUUCGGAUUGUAAACCUCUGUCUUUGGGGAAGAAAGAAUGACGGUACCCAAGGAGGAAGCUCCGGCUAACUACGUGCCAGCAGCCGCGGUAAUACGUAGGGAGCAAGCGUUGUCCGGAAUUACUGGGUGUAAAGGGAGCGUAGGCGGGCGAGCAAGUUGAAUGUGAAAUGUAUGGGCUCAACCCAUAAACUGCGUUCAAAACUGCACGUCUUGAGUGAAGUAGAGGCAGACGGAAUUCCUAGUGUAGCGGUGAAAUGCGUAGAUAUUAGGAGGAACACCAGUGGCGAAGGCGGUCUGCUGGGCUUUAACUGACGCUGAGGCUCGAAAGCGUGGGUAGCAAACAGGAUUAGAUACCCUGGUAGU